rnacentral:rRNA from 1 species
GAUGAACGCUGGCGGCGUGCCUAAUACAUGCAAGUCGAGCGAACAGACGAGGAGCUUGCUCCUCUGACGUUAGCGGCGGACGGGUGAGUAACACGUGGAUAACCUACCUAUAAGACUGGGAUAACUUCGGGAAACCGGAGCUAAUACCGGAUAAUAUGUUGAACCGCAUGGUUCAAUAGUGAAAGACGGUGUUGCUGUCACUUAUAGAUGGAUCCGCGCCGCAUUAGCUAGUUGGUAAGGUAACGGCUUACCAAGGCAACGAUGCGUAGCCGACCUGAGAGGGUGAUAGGCCACACUGGAACUGAGACACGGUCCAGACUCCUACGGGAGGCAGCAGUAGGGAAUCUUCCGCAAUGGGCGAAAGCCUGACGGAGCAACGCCGCGUGAGUGAAGAAGGUCUUCGGAUCGUAAAACCCUGUUAUUAGGGAAGAACAAAUGUGUAAGUAACUAUGCACGUCUUGACGGUACCUAAUCAGAAAGCCACGGCUAACUACGUG